rnacentral:rRNA from 1 species
UAGUAGCGGCGAGCGAAGCGGGAAGAGCUCAAAUUUAUAAUCUGGCACCUUCGGUGUCCGAGUUGUAAUCUCUAGAAAUGUUUUCCGCGUUGGACCGCACACAAGUCUGUUGGAAUACAGCGGCAUAGUGGUGAGACCCCCGUAUAUGGUGCGGACGCCCAGCGCUUUGUGAUACAUUUUCGAAGAGUCGAGUUGUUUGGGAAUGCAGCUCAAAUUGGGUGGUAAAUUCCAUCUAAAGCUAAAUAUUGGCGAGAGACCGAUAGCGAACAAGUACCGUGAGGGAAAGAUGAAAAGCACUUUGGAAAGAGAGUUAACAGUACGUGAAAUUGUUGGAAGGGAAACGCUUGAAGUCAGACUUGCUUGCCGAGCAAUCGGUUUGCAGGCCAGCAUCAGUUUUCCGGGAUGGAUAAUGGUAGAGAGAAGGUAGCAGUUUCGGCUGUGUUAUAGCUCUCUGCUGGAUACAUCUUGGGGGACUGAGGAACGCAGUGUGCCUUUUGGCGGGGGUUUCGACCUCUUCACACUUAGGAUGCUGGUGGAAUGGCUUUAAACAACCCGUCUUGAA